rnacentral:lncRNA from 1 species
CAACCUCACCAAGAUGGAAACAUUGUAGCUGAAUAAUUAUUUGUUUAAGAGGUGUCCUGUGCAUUGUAGGAUUUUUACCAACAGCCCUGAACUUUACCCACUAGAUUCCAGGAGCAACCCCCAACUCCUAGGUUGGGACAACCCAAAUUGUCUCUGGGUAUUACCAAAUUUCUCCUGUGGGGCAAAAUCCACCCCCUGCCCCCUACCAUUCAGUCAUCUCCAUUGCAGGGCCAGCCACAGCUCUUACAGGACAGCUGUAAGAACAAGAGUUCUGGGAGGCUUUCAAUUACAGCCAUCUCCAAGUGGAACUCUCCAGGCUAAGAGGAUGAUGACCACCAGCAGCAAUUUCAAUUUCACCAGCACGUCAGGCAGAAGACAGCAAAUUGAAAAAGAUCCUCAAAAUUCUGGCGUAUUUCUAGUGCUGUCCAUGUACGUGACCUUGGAGGUGAUGAGAGAUUGUUGUCAGCUGCAUCGCGUCACAUCCAGUCAAUGAACCCGCAGCUUAACGAGCUAAUCUAGGUUCUGAUGGAAAAGAGACAGGCAGCCCCUGACAUCAGGGAGCCACAUGGCACACCCAGCCUGGUCUUGGCGUUCUCCUGCUGAGCACAAAUGACGUCACAGAACAUCAGCAUCCGCAUCAGACUGUGCCCACCACAGAGUAAGACCAAAACCACCCAUGGCGCAUCUGAACACAGAUCAACCGAAGAACCAAGCCACAGAAUGACAAUCACCCACCAUCCUGGCUGACAGGAGUGCAUCCCCACCAGACUGUGCCGGGUGGUGGAGGGAAGAUCGCGCCUGAGGGGUGGCAGAUCUGCUGUCCCCCAGGGGAAGGUUGUCCUUAUCCCCUCGCUGGGUAUUCUGCCAACUUCUAGAGUGGACGAGCUCAUGUUCUGUUCCCUCUCUGCUAGUCAGGGCCUGGUUUUGUCCAUGUGCCUCCUCCAGGUUCAGAAGAGCAACUGAGUCCCCUGAGCCUCUGUCCUGUCCUCCUUCAGCUGAUGCCGGUAGAAUCCAGUUCAGCCCCCCAGGGUGUGGCCUCAGCCACUGGUCCUGGCCACCUGGGAGCUGCCAGAGACUCAACCAUUCAAACCCAAAGCACUCUCUCUGACCAUGCUGCUGACCCUCUGAAAUAUGUUGGGCCACCUUAUGUCUGUCUAGCAUAGCCCCCUUUCAGUCAGAUCCGGGAAGGGGAAAUGAGAACCACAGUUUCCCAUAAACUUCUCCCAUGGGUGAGGAGGGGGGCCCACCUACUCUCCUUACAUUAAAGUCCAUG